GGGAAUAUCAUCAUUUAUUUGCUGUUUUGUACGUUAAAUUAUUAAACGUGUAGGAAAGUGAACGCCAAACCUCUGCCUGCAGUCGUUUGUGCAGCACCAAAGCCCCCCCCCAGGCUCCCCCGUGCCCACCUCCGGGAAUGCUGGGGUGGCUGCAGCGAGCCAAGAGCUCCUCCACUCUCAACAUCUCCAUCACCAUCGCUGCUGUCAACAUCUCUGUUGCCUUGUGCUGUUCCUGGGGAAGGAGAUGGUCACGGACCGAGCAGUGGGUGUGUUGAGCUGGGGGCACUGGGCAGUACUGGAGGCACUGGAAGCCCACUGCAGGGCACUGGGAGGCUAUUGAGGGCCGCAGGCAGCACUGGGGGGCACUGAGUUUGCACAAGAAGACUCUAGACAAUACUGGGAGGCAAUGGGAGCUUAGUGGGGAGCUAAGCAAUCCAUUUCUUCCGUGGGGGGAGACUUUCUCCCUGGGGCUGACCCCCCCCCAACCACAGCACCGCUUGGCUCUGCCCUGGGCGCUAUGGUCCAUGCAUUCCCACCCUGAUGCUGUCUCUCAGUGACACAUUUGUCACCCACAGACUCACCGUGGGUCCUGAGCUGGGCUGGGGGGCGUCCUGUGAAAGCAACCCCAGUGACAGCCCUGAGCCCUAUACGGCACACAGCCCGGAAAACCACCGGGUUUCAUGCUGCCCAAAUCAGCUUCAGCUCAUCACCCUGGGACUCCAGCGGGGGGCUCUGUGGAAGCUUCCCCUGUUUCCAGCUGCUGCUACCCCGUGCUUGUUGACCAUGCUUCAUGCUCUGGCAUACACCUGGAAAGGUGAACUCUGCCAUGGCCUAGGAAGAGCUCUGCUCGCUCUUUCUUAGCAAUGCCUCUGAACAUCUUGAAAGCCAGGAGGAAGAGGCCAUGACUGAAAGGCAGAGAGAUUCUGGCAGCACAAGGACCGUUUCACAACAACAAGCUCCACACAGUCUACGGGAACACCAUUUCUUAGCUGCUUUCCUCCCUGCCCCAAUGGCCGUCACACUUCAUCAUCUCCACUUGACAGGCUGGAGCAGCAGCAAGUCGUACUGCUGGGUUUCUGAAGGCCCUUUCAACCUCCAGAGGGAAGAAAACAGCCCCAACAAAAAGGGGGCAGCGGGGCUCUCCCUAGGACACCACUGGUCUCUGCAGAGUUCACAGGGACUUCAAACGCACAAAGCACCCACAAAAGCAUCCCAACAGCUCCAACAAGGAAGCAAAACAAAGCCAGGACGCUCUGCAGGGCUCCCAGCUCUUAGGAGCUGACACCUGCUAAGAGAUGCACAGAAACCCUCUUCCCUACUUCUCCCCCUGCCAUUUCUACAGCCAUUUACAGACAAUGGGGAAAGGCAGCGUAAGGCUCGUGGAGAAGACUGGGUGGACAUGACAUUUCUCACUCCCCUGCUGACAGAGCACUGCUCGUCAAGAGGACCACUAUUUCUCAAACAAGCACCAACCAAGCAUGGCAACAAACAACUCAAAUGGCACUUGCCCAGCAAAACAACCAGCCUGCCCAAAGACCUCUCCUCAGAGACUUGCCCAAAAGGCCACAACCAUUACUCCCACGUGGCAGGCUUACUCACAGAACAGCAGCCUUCUCGUCACCGUGCAUCACCAGGACACAAGCAGCCUGCUGGGGCAAGGGAGGCAAUCUCU
rnacentral:lncRNA from 7 species